ACUUAAUAGUAAUAAUAGAGGUAAUUACUAUUUAUAAAUUUAGGUCUAGGUGCAGCUUAUAAAAAGGAUGAAAUGAAUUAUAUUAGUUAGAUUUAGCUAAUUUUUUAAAGAAUUUUAAGAAAUAAGUAAGAUUUAAAAGUAAAUUUAUGAGAUAAUCUUAAGUUGAAAUAAGCUCUGAAGUAUGUACAUAUCGCCCGUCGCUCUCAUGAAUAAUUGAGAUAAGUCGUAACAAAGUAAAUAUACCGGAAGGUGUUU
rnacentral:rRNA from 1 species